rnacentral:rRNA from 1 species
GGCAGCAGCUAAGAAUAUUCCGCAAUGGACGAAAGUCUGACGGAGCGACGCCGCGUGGAUGAUGAAGGCCGGAAGGUUGUAAAAUCCUUUUAUGACUGAGGAAUAAGCAGGGUGAGAGAAACGCCCUGUGGUGACUGUAGGUCAUGAAUAAGCAACGGCUAAUUAGUGCCAGCAGCCGCGGUAACACGUAAGUUGCGAGCGUUGUUCGGAAUUAUUGGGCGUAAAGGGCAUGUAGGCGGUUCUGCAAGUCUGGUGUGAAAUACCGGGGCUCAACCCCGGAACUGCGUUGGAAACUGCAGGACUUGAAUCGCUGAGGGGCAGCCAGAAUUCCAGGUGUAGGGGUGAAAUCUGUAGAUAUCUGGAAGAAUACCAAUGGCGAAGGCAGGCUGCCAGCAGAUGAUUGACGCUGAGGUGCGAAGGUGCGGGGAGCAAACAGGAUUAGAUACCCUGGUAGUCCGCACAGUCAACUAUGUACACUAGGUGUCCGGUCAUGAGACUGGGUGCCGAAGCAAACGCGAUAAGUGUACCGCCUGGGGAGUAUGCCCGCAAGGGUGAAACUCAAAGGAAUUGACGG